rnacentral:rRNA from 1 species
AAGUCUCUUGGAACAGAGCGUCAUAGAGGGUGAGAAUCCCGUCCAUGACACGGACUACCGAUGCUAUGUGAUACACUCUCAAAGAGUCGAGUUGUUUGGGAAUGCAGCUCAAAAUGGGUGGUAAAUUCCAUCUAAAGCUAAAUAUUGGCGAGAGACCGAUAGCGAACAAGUACCGUGAGGGAAAGAUGAAAAGCACUUUGGAAAGAGAGUUAAACAGUACGUGAAAUUGUUGAAAGGGAAACGCUUGAAGUCAGUCGCGUUGUUCAGGACUCAGCCUUGUUUUUGCUUGGUGUACUUCCUGUUCAACGGGUCAACAUCGAUUUUGACCGGCGGAUAAAGGUGGGGGGAAUGUGGCACCUUCGGGUGUGUUAUAGCCCUCUAUUGCAUACGUCGGUUGGGAUUGAGGACCGCAGCGCGCCCUCUGGGCCAGGGGUUCGCCCCAUGUAACGCGCUUAGGAUGUUGGCAUAAUGGCUUUAAGCGACCCGUCU